GUGGAUUAGAUACCCUAGUAGUCCACGCUGUAAACGAUGAAUACUAGGUGUGGGAGGACUGACCCCUUCCGUGCCGCAGUUAACACAAUAAGUAUUCCACCUGGGGAGUACGACCGCAAGGUUGAAACUCAAAGGAAUUGACGGGGGCCCGCACAAGCGGUGGAUUAUGUGGUUUAAUUCGACGCAACGCGAAGAACCUUACCAGGAUUUGACAUCCUACUAACGAAGUAGAGAUACAUUAGGUGCCCUUCGGGGAAAGUAGAGACAGGUGGUGCACGGCCGUCGCCAACU
rnacentral:rRNA from 1 species